rnacentral:misc_RNA from 1 species
GUCAUCUUCAACAGAAACAAAGCCAAUCACCGGAAACAGCCAGAAACUUCAGCAGACGAUCGGUGCAACAGCGGAAGAUCCACCAUGGCCAUGGAGGACGAAGCUCAAAUUAUGCUCAUCUCUCCGGCCGACCCUAAAGGUAGUCCGGUCAAGGACCAGCAAGCCGCCGGUGUCGGCAUCCUCCUUCAGAUCAUGAUGCUCGUUCUCUCUUUCGUUCUCGGCCAUGUCCUUCGCCG